AGAGCAGCGGGUGAGCUCAUUGGCUCACAUCGCAGUCCUCUCUCUUAUUUCUCACUCUCUCUCUUUCACUCUCUCUUCAGAAUGGCAACACUGCCUUGGCGAUUGCUAAGCGUCUGGGCUACAUCUCCGUGGUCGACACCCUGAAGGUUGUGACUGAGGAGGUCACCACCACCACCACAACUAUUACAGAAAAACACAAACUAAAUGUACCUGAGACGAUGACUGAGGUUCUUGAUGUUUCUGAUGAAGAGGGUGAUGACACAAUGACUGGUGAUGGGGGAGAAUACCUUAGGCCUGAGGACCUAAAAGAACUGGGUGAUGACUCACUACCCAGCAGUCAGUUCCUGGAUGGUAUGAAUUACCUGCGAUACAGCUUGGAGGGAGGACGAUCUGACAGCCUUCGAUCCUUCAGUUCCGACAGGUCUCACACUCUGAGCCAUGCCUCCUACCUGAGGGACAGUGCCGUGAUGGAUGACUCAGUUGUGAUUCCCAGUCACCAGGUGUCAACUCUAGCCAAGGAGGCAGAAAGGAAUUCUUAUCGCCUAAGCUGGGGCACUGAGAACUUAGACAACGUGGCUCUUUCUUCUAGU
rnacentral:sRNA from 1 species